UGCAGAACCACACAACACAAAACAAAAUCAAGACAAACAAACGUACAAAUCAAGAACAGAAAACAACUCUUCAUCUCACUUCCUCUCUGUCGCAUGAGUAGUGGUCGUAGUAGUAGAGGUUGGAGCUGAAGAAUCAUGUUCUUUGUUUCCUUCAUCAGUACCAAGCCCUAAAGUGUGCUUAACCGCAUCAGUAGCUCCCAUAGCCAUUUGCUUCACUUGCUCACCGGUUUGGCCCAAGAUCCCACCGGUCUUGUUCUUACCAGCUUCUGCAGUCUCCUUGGUAUAUUCUGCUGCAUCUUGUGCCUUGUUCUUAAUUGUUUCUCCUGUCUCUGACAUGUAGCUUCCCGUUUUGUCCUUGGACUCUUGAGCUUUCUGUUGAGUUGUUUGUGCGGCUUGAGAUGCCUUGUCUUUAGCUGCUUGAGCUGUUUCAUGGGUCUUUUGUUGGGCUGAUUGGGCUGCUCCUUGAGUUUUGUCCUUAGCUACAUCUGUCUUCUCCCCCAUCGCUCUCAUAGCUUGUCCUGUCUUCUCCUAUGAUUUGACAUUGGAUUUACAUUCAAGCAAAGGUUAAUAGAGUAAUUAACUUAAAUAUGUAAAUAGAUUGUGGCUAUUGUGUUAUUGUCACUCCUAUUCAACCUGUCUCUUUCUUAUUAUUUCAUCAUCUGAAUUCCAAAAAAAAAAAAAUCAGCAUAGACACAUUGGUUGUCAACAAUCUUUUGUUGUUAUAUUAUCUAAUCAUGCAAAAAACAGACCUAUGCUUUUCUUUAUAUAAGAAAAGUUACUCAUGAGAAAACAUGUUUUCAGAAAUAUAAAGAACAGACUGUUUUAUCAAUUAAAGAACACGAUACGUCGUAAACUAGUGGCUUCAUUCAUUUUUCUAUGACCUAACUGACACCAUUUUUAUUUACUUUAUUAAUUGAAAAAUAUUAUUGUAAUAUAGCAGAUGAAUCAUUUAGUAUACCUGAGUCUGGCCUCUGGUCUCACCAGCUUUGAAACCCUGUUCUUGAUGAGAAGCCAUUUUCUCUCGUCGAAAAAUUCGAAACCAAAAUAUUUAGUGGAAACUCGAAAGGCUGAUUGAUGAUCAAAAGCUGUUUAUCAGAACCUGUGUUGGAAGAUAUCUCCGACUCUUAUGUUUGAGACAUUUUAUAGCAAGUCUUGGUCGGACCGAGAACAAGAGACAUGUUGCAGAUGUCUCGACACGUGUGAAGCACGCGUCGCGAUUAGGUUAGCGAAACGAAGUUCGAAACUUGGAGUAAUGUGCGAGUGUUGAAUGUUAGGUUAUCUUGUUUUUGAUGACGACCUAUGUAGAGGUGCCACGCUAUAAUAAAAUAAUGUGUUACGGAAGAUGCUAGAUACGUGGCGAGUCACGUACAUGGAUUUUAUUUACUUAAUGCAUUACAAUAUUUAUACAAAGACUUAGGUAGUUACGUUCUUUAAUAAGAAAACAAAGACUUAUUAUUACGCUAAAAUUUGUUAUUCUAUCUGUUGCUCACCUCUGUUUUGGAGCUCAUGUAUUUCUAUUCAGUAAUCAGUAAUCAGUCUCUGCUACUCUGUUAUUCGGAGACAAACUCCGUUUCAAAUUAUUUUCUUUUUUUGGGUUAGUGAUACUCAGAUGAAUAAGAAAAGUUAUAUGAGUGAAAAACAAAAAUUGCUUUCCAUUUUAUUAUCCAAAACAUUCCAUCAUUAUCAUUACCGAAAAGAAAAGUUGGGAUUACAAUGUAAAACAAAACAACAUAAAAUUAUUAUAAUUUACUACGGAGCACGACUUAGACCAUCAUGCAAUAUGUAGAUUUGAAUUUAAAUUGAGAUACAUCAACGACACUAUUACAAACCUCUCGACUAUGUAUAUAUGUUCUUAUCCGAUUAUAAUUAUCAAUGACUUUUUUUAAUGAGAAUUUGGUUAUGUAAAUUUUAAAUCAUCAUUAGUAAUAUCAUUUCAUCAAUAAAUUUCUGUUUUAUUAUAUUUUCAUACGUAAAACAUUCAUUUAACACGGCGAACCAAUACCUGAUCUAUUCCGGUCCGGACUUAAUUGAAACCGACUAUAUAAACCAAGUGUAAUAAAACUGUCCAAGUUCAGAUAUGUGUUUAUGUGGAUCAAUGCAAAUUUACAUUUGGAGUUUUGGAGAGUUUCUACUUUAUCCAGAUGUUCUUUAGAAAUGGUUCAACUGCACCAAUACACAACAAAUCAGGAAAAUUUCUUGAUGUUUCCACCUUCCAUAUCCGGCACCAAAUAGAUUAAAUAUGAUCAUUGAAUUUAUCUUUUUGAUUUACUUAACCAGCUUGCUAAUUGGAGACAUUCUACACAGACCAAAUACUUCAAAGAAAACACAAAUUAAUGUCCAAAAUAUUUAGGUACAAGAAACUUCACGUUCUCCAUACUUAACAAGACCGAUGUAUAAUGGCCAUUUUACUCAAUAAACUUUGAUUGUUUUCCCAUUUAAAUUGUUUUAUUUAUAUAUUUUGUUUGUUUAAGCUUGUAAAAACGUAUAUAGGAGAACUAUAUAGUCUCGUAGGCUAUAAUCUCAAUCAUCAAUUCCCCUUGUAAUAUUCAUGAAUCAUUUUAUUAAUAGUUAAUAAAUCAUUUUUUUUUAAGAAUGUAAAAUUUAUUCAUCAAAAAACGUCUUUACAAAGAAUACUUAUGUGGUUCUAAAAGAUUGAAAAAAAUUGAAAUCAAAACAACAUUAGAUUAGAAAUUUGUGUUAGCUCGACUCUGAAACUUCAAAUUAGAUUAGAAAUUUGUGUUAGCUCGACUCUGAAACUUCAGCGGAUGAAGAACCACCAAUGUUAGACCAUCAUUGUAUCUGGUACCACUCAUCAUUUGGAUGGAAGAAACUCUGUUUCACACUCCCUUGUCGAUAAAGCGAAUUAGCUGGAGAGGUGAUUGUGGUUGAUCACCAUGAACUCUUCCAUUUCGCUCACGCCAAAUAGUGUGUACUGCCAGUUGGAAGACAUAUCUGAAUAGGAAUAGAGGGGUUGAACUUAGCGUUGAGUCAGAGAGGAGAAAAACCAGACUAUCCCAAUCUAUGGAGAAGCUAUCGAUGAGUAGAUUGGACGCAAGAUUGGUCCAAAUCAAUUUGUUUUCUUUUUUAAAGCUUCGCCUUUCUGUUUUAUUCUCUAAAGUUCAUAAGUGAAAUAUUUUUUCUUUUGUGUUCUUGUUAUUUAGAGUGUAUGUGAAUCAAACCACUUUGGGUCAUGGGAGUAAAGCCUUGAUCCAUGCGAGGAAAAUCUCUUAGAUCAAGUCCUUUGUCCAUUGAUAUAUUUGGACCUUAAAGUGUAUUAUUUAUCAACAUUAACUUCAUCCAUCAAUAACUUUAAAUCUUUAUGUGCUAUAAGUUUGAUGGCUUCUAAUCUUACAUCAAAUCUCGCAUAGGAGAAGAUAUCGAGCAAACUUUAUGACUUCUUUGCUUCUAACGAUGAAGAAAACAAAUGUAUAUAGUGAUGACAGAAAAAGUUUCAAAAUUAAGAAGAAACUAUAUGGCUAUUAUCAUUUAAUAUUGAUGGUAAAGUUAUUGUGCUUUGGAUACCAGUUACACGUGUAGACGAUAAUUUAGAACUCUUUAAUUUUUAAAUAAUUUGCAAAUAAAAGACCACAGUAAAAAAAAUCACCAUAAAUAAAUGAUGUUAGAAAAAACCAUUAAUAUAGAAAUCCAACAAAAGUAUUUUUAAGAAAGAAAUAUAUAGAUCAUAUAUAUAUAUAUAUAUAUUAUUAGAUUAUCAUUGAAAUCUAAACACUUUAUAUUAAGAAAGAAAAACUGAACACAGAUUUUUGUGACAUAUUAGAUGGAAAGUGUAUUAAAGUGUUUAGACAAAACUAAUUAGUAAUAAUAAGAUAAAAGUUAUUAAUUCAUUAAAACAUAUUUGAUGAGGUGCUAAGUGUUUUCUUUUAUUUUAUAUAUAUAUGGUAUUCUUGUGCAUCUAAUAGAAUAAGAUCUAUGGAUUGUGUUCCACCCAAUUAAGUUUUUUUUUUUUUCUGUAAUUCGUCAGUUAUGUGAAAUAACUGACAAAUAUUAUUAAUUGUUUUAAAUAAAUUAUGCCUCUGAUAAAGAUUUUGUUUUGAAAACAUUUUCUACCCAAUUAGUGAUAGUAAGAUUUCUAACUUAAUUUAGGGAUGUGGUCUAUUUUUUCCUAAAAAGCAAAUAAGUAAAGACUCAUUUGUUGUAUAAAUAUACAAUGUCUUGCCUUACCUUCUCUUAUAUUUUCCAUCUCUCAAAGCUUCCGAGAUAAAUUAAAAAAUACAGUUGAAAAACAAGAAAUUCUUCUCGUCAAAAAUGGCAUCUGGUAUGUUUUUUCCUUGUUGUGAUUAUUCAUGCUUCUUCCAUUGUUAUCAAAAUUGCUCGACUAUUUACUCGUUACAUAUUUUCUGCGUGAAACUAAUUCGUAAAUUUACGUAUGAUAACCACAUAUAUAUAUAGAGAGUAGAGUUAUGAACAACGUGUACAUUGUGGAGCCCAUAGGAGUUCAUAAAGCCACUAUAGUCUGGCUGCACGACAUCGGGCUCAAAGGCGUCGAGUAACACUCUCACUGUCUCCCAUGCUUUGUUUUGUAUUGUUUUAUAUGCUCUCUUUUUUUCCUAAAAUAUAUGCUCUUUUGUUUUCAAAACUCUCGAAUUUUGUACAUUUCCUCUCUAUUUUCUUUUCUUGUUAGAUAAUAAUAAGUUUGUUUCACUAAAGUUGUAUAUACAUUACAUAUUAUACACACUAUAUAUAUUUUAAUUAAUCUAUUAUGUAUGCAGCUCAGUUCAGCCUCUGCAAAGUUUGGGUCUUCCCAAUGUAAGGAUCCAUACAGAUACAUGUGUUUGCCAUGAAUUUAAUUUCUUUUUAUAUAUAGCCACAAUGGAAACUAUGAAUUUUCUAAUAAAAAUAUAUGAUUUGGCAUAGAUAAAAUGGAUUUGUCCGACUGCUCCUACACGCCGUGUUACUUCUUUGGGUGGAGAAGAAACCACUGCAUGUACGAUUAAUUGGCUAUAGAUAUACAUAUGUUAUUUUGUUUCUUCUAAAUCAGUAUUUGAUGUCUCUAAAAUAUUACUAAUUAAAAUGGAAAACUAAUAGUACAGUAUUCAUAAUCCUUUUAUGGUGAAUCAGGGUGCGAUAUCACAAAAGUUUCAGAGAGCAUACAUCAUGAUUUUGAAGCUUUAGAUAAUGUGAAUUCAUUUGUUGCUGGCCUUUUCUCUUCCGAACCAGAACAUGGUAAUUCGGAAUUAUCCACACUUAACAUGCAUAGUUUAGACUAUCUAUACAUCAAAUACAUAUAUAUGAUUAAAUAAUUAAUACUUUAAUGUUGAUUUUGGUAUAGUUAUUAAAGGAGUGGGAGGUGUCGGCUUGGGUGCAGCACAAGCUCUCUACUUUGCGAGUAACUAUGCCUUUGGACGAGUCACCAUAAACCUAAAAAUUGUUAUAGGGAUCAACGGUUGGCCCUGAUUAUGUAUAUAUGUUCUUAUCCGAUUAUAAUCAUCAAUGACGUUUUUAAUGAGAAUUUGGUUAUGUAAAUUUUGAAUCAUCACUAAUAAUGUCAUUUCAUCAAUAAAAUUGUGUUUUAUUAUAUUUUCACCAAUCUUUACAUCUAGUAGUUGAAUCUACCAAAAUUAUUCACUUAACACGGUGAACCAAGACCUGAUCCAUUCAGGUCCAGACUUAAUCGAAACCGAAUUUAUAAACUAGAUGUAAUGUAAUAAUUAAAACUGUCCAAGUUCAGAUAUGUCUUUGUUUGGAUCAAUGCAAAUUUACCUUUGGAGUUCAGGAGAGUUUCUACUUUAUCCAGAUGUUCUUUAGAAAUGGUUCAACUGCAUCAGUACGCAACUGAUCAGACAAAUUUCUUGAUGCUUCCACUUUCCAUAUCCGGCACCAAAUAGAUUAAAUAGGAUCAUUGAAUUUAUUUUUUUGAUUUACUUGAACCAGCUUGCUUGGAGACAUUCUACACAGACCAAAAACUUCAAAGAAAAAACAAAUUCAUGUCCAAAAUAUUUAGGUACAAGAAACUUCGCAUACUUAACAAGACUGAUGUAUAAUGGCCAUUUUACUCAAUAAACUUCGAUUAAUUUCACAUUUAAAAUUUUUUUUUUGUUUAAGCUUGUAAAACCGUAUAUAGGAGAACUAUAUAAUCUCGUAGGCUAUAAUCUCAAUCAUCAGUUCCCUUGUAAUAUUCAUGAAUCAUUUUAUUAAUAGUCAAUAAAUCAAAUUGUUUUAUUUUUUAUAAAAAAAAUGUAAAAUUUCAUCAAAAAAGCGUUUUUACAAAGAAUGCUUAUGUGGUUCUAAAAAAUUGAAAUCAAAGCAAAAUUAGACUAGAAAUUUGUGCUAGUUGGACUCUGAAACUUUAGCGGGUGGAGAACCACCAAGUUAGACCAUCAUCGUAUCUGGUACCACUCGUCAUUCGGAUGGAAGAAACUCUGUUCUGCACAAGGGAACAUUCCCUUGUCGAUAAAGCGAAUUAGCUGGAGCGGUGAUUGUGGUUGAUCACUAUGACCUCUUCCAUUUCGCUCGUGCCAAAUAGUGUGUACUGCCAGUUGGAAGACAUAUCUGAAUAAGAAUAGAGGAGUUGAACUUAGCGUUGAGUCAGAGAGGAGAAGAACCAGACUAUCUUAAUCUGUGGAGAAGCUAUCGAUGAGUAGAUUGGACGCAAGAUUGGUCCAAAUCAAUUUUUUUUCUUUUUUAAAGCUUUGUCUUUCUGUUUUAUUCUGUAAAGUUUAUAAGUGAAAUUAUUUAUUUUUUUGUGUUCUUGUUAUUUAGAGUGUAUGUAAAUCAAACCACUUUUGGUCAUGGGAGGAAAUCCUUGAUCCAUCCCAGAAAAUCUCUUAGAUUAAGUCCUUUGUCCAUUGAUAUAUUUGGACCUUACACAAUCUAAGUGUAUUAUAUAUCAACAUUCUCUUCAUCCAUCAAUAUAUGUAAUUUUAAAUCUUUAUGUGCUUUAAGUUUUGUGGCUUCUAAUCUUACAUCAAAAUCUCGCAUAGGAGAAGAGAUCGAGCAAGAUUUACGACUUCUUUAUUUCUAACGAUGAAGGGACAAAUGUAUAUAGUGAUGAUCGAAAAAGUUCCAAAAUUUAGAAGAAACUAUAUCGUUAUUAUCAUUUAAUAUUGAUGGUGAAGUUACUGUGCUUCAGAUACCAAUUACACGUGUAGAAGACAAUUUAGAACUCUUUGAUUUUUAAAUAAUUUGAAAAUAAAAGACCACAAUCUUUUAAAAAAGUCACUAUGUUGGAAAAAACCAUUGAUAUAGAAAUCCAACAAAAAUACUUUUAAGAAAGAAAAAUAUAGAUCAUAUAUCAUUAGAUUAUCAUUGAAAUCUAAAAACUUUAUAUUAAGGAAAAAAAAACUGAAUACAUAGAUUUUGUGACAUUUUAUAUGGAAAGUGUAUUAAAGUGUUUAGACAAAACUAAUUAGUAAUAAUAAGAUAAAAGUUAUAAAUUCAUUAAAACAUAUUUGAUGAGGUGCUAAGUGUUUUCUUUUAUUAUAUAUAUGGUAUUCUUGUGCAUCUAAUAGAAUAAGAUCUAUGGAUUGUGUUCCACCCAAUUAAGUUUUUUUUUUGCUGUAAUUCGUCAGUUUUGUGAAAUAACUGACAAAUAUUAUUAAUUGUUUUAAAUAAAUUAUGCCUUUGAUGAAGAUUUUGUUUUGAAAACAUUUUCUACCCAAUUAGUGAUAGUAAGAUUUCUAACUUAAUUUAGGGAUGUGGUCUAUUUUUUCCUAAAAAGCAAAUAAGUAAUGACUCAUUUGUUGUAUAAAUAUACAAUGUCUUGCCUUACCUUCUCUUAUAUUUUCCAUCUCUCAAAGCUUCUGAGAUAAAUUAAAAAAAAUACGGUUAAAAAACAAGAAAUUCUUCUCGUCAAAAAUGGCAUCUGGUUAUGUUUUUUCCUUGUGAUUAUUCAUGCUUCUUCCAUAGUUAUCAAAAUUGCUCGACUAUUUUCUCGUUACAUAUUUUCUGCGUGAAACUAAUUAGUAAAUUUACGUAUGAUAACCACAUAUAUAUACAGGUAGUAGAGUUAUGAACAACGUGUACAUUGUUGAGCCCAUAGGAGUUCAUAAAACCACUAUAGUCUGGCUGCACGACAUCGGGCUCAAAGGCGUCGAGUAACACUCUCAUUGUCUCCCAUGCUUUGUUUUGUAUUGUUUUAUAUGCUCUCUUUUUUCUCGUAAAAUAUAUGCUCUUUUGUUUUUAAAAUUCUCGAAUUUUGUAUAUUUCCUCUCUAUUUUCUUUUCUUGUUAGAUAAUAAUAAGUUCGUUUCACUAAAGUUGUAUAUACAUUACAUAUUAUACACACUAUAUAUAUUUUAAUUAAUCUAUUAUGUAUGCAGCUCAGUUCAGCCUCUGCAAAGUUUGGGUCUUCCCAAUGUAAGGAUCGAUACAGAUACAUGUGUUUGCCAUGAAUUUAAUUUCUUUUUAUAUAUAGCCACAAUGGAAACUAUGAAUUUUCUAAUUAAAAUAUAUGAUUUGGCAUAGAUAAAAUGGAUUUGUCCGACUGCUCCUACACGCCGUGUUACUUCUUUGGGUGGAGAAGAAACCACUGCAUGUACGAUUAAUUGGCUAUAGAUAUACAUAUAUUAUUUUGUUUCUUCUAAAUCAGUAUUUGAUGUCUCUAAAAUAUUACUAAUUAAAAUGGAAAACUAAUAAUACAGUAUUCAUAAUCCUUUAUGGUGAAUCAGGGUGCGAUAUUACAAAAGUUUCAGAGAGCAUGCAUCAUGAUUUUGAAGCUUUAGAUAAUGUGAAUUCAUUUGUUGCUGGCCUUUUCUCUUCCGAACCAGAACAUGGUAAUUCGAAAUUAUCUACACUUAACAUGCAUAGUUUAGACUAUCUAUACAUCAAAUACAUAUAUAUGAGUAAAUAAUUAAUACUUUAAUGUUGAUUUUGGUAUAGUUAUUAAAGGUGUGGGAGGUGUUGGCUUGGGUGCAGCACAAGCUCUCUACUUUGCGAGUAACUAUGCCUUUGGACGAGUCACCAUAAACCUAAAAAUUGUUGUAGGGAUCAACGGUUGGCUUCCUAGCUGGACGUAAGCUCCUCAAGCCCUGAUGUAGUUUUUCACAAAAUUUUAUUUAACUAUUCAUAUAUACCUUUUAAUAAUGGAAAACCAAAAUCGAUCAAUAAUCUUGUAGGACCUUACGAAAUGAUAUGUAUUCUGCCUUUGGGACUUUUGUUCGUGCCGGAUCGCUAAUCUUACUUACNNNNNNNNNNNNNNNNNNNNNNNNNNNNNNNNNNNNNNNNNNNNNNNNNNNNNNNNNNNNNNNNNNNNNNNNNNNNNNNNNNNNNNNNNNNNNNNNNNNNNAAUUACUUUUUUCACUCAUAUAUUUUAUAGUUAUUACUAUCUUUUAACAUAUUGUUCUUCUCUGAAUUUUGGGUUAUGUCAUGUGCAGGGAUCACGUCAUGAAUGAUCUUCGCGUAGCACUCCCGCAAUAUUUUAGGCUCUGAUGAGGAUAUAGCUAAACUCUGCAUCCUGAAAAGAAUAUGGAAUAAAACUAUCGUAAAACUAUAGCUUUUAUUUUUAUUUUUUUGCUAUUCAUAAAUUAUAUAAUUGUUAAUGUAUUUUUUUCAUUUUUAUCCUUCAAAAACUGAAGUUUAUUUUCAGUUUUCUGUUAUAUCAUAUAUCAUAUAAAAAGGUUAUUAUAUUAUCAAUGGUGAACUAACAAAAGAGGAAGAAGUAAAAUUAGUGUAAUAACAUAUUGAUUUAAAAAAGUGGGUUAGUGGUAUAAUAUAGACAUACAUAUAGUGUAGUACUACCAAAAUGUAACAUAUCCAAUUAAUUAACUAUCAAUUGAGAUUGUACGUAAUGGUGUGCCAUACAAACUACCAAUUAAUCGCUCUUUUCCCUCUCUUUUGAUGUGCCCUAUUCCCUCUUUUUGUGUCUGCGCCCUUUCUUCUCUAAUAUUGUCUAUUGAGAUUGUACGUAAUGGUGUGCCAUACAAACUAUUUAUACUAUUUUUAGAUUGAUUUUUAUUAUUUUUCGUAACGCAUAAUUCCAUUCAAUAUACAUUUCUUAUAAAUGAUUUAUGUAUGACAUGACAAUAUUUGUUAAAAUAUUUAGAACGUGUUAUAUCAAUACAACAUAAGCUAAUAUUGUUGUGUUCACAUGUGUAUACUAAUCAAAUUCAGAAUCACAACAAAUAUAAUUCUAUUCACCGGAUAAAACAAGUCUUCAAUUAACCAAACCAUUACAUAACAAUGUACGUAUAAAUGGAUUUAAACUCAAUAAGCAACAACGAAAAUCAACAUGCAGAAUCACACAACACAAAACAAAAUCAAAACAAACAAACGUAUAAGCAAGAACAGAAAACAACUCUUCAUCUCACUUCCUCUCUGUCGCAUGAGUAUUGGUAGUAGUAGAGGUUGGAGCUGAAGAAACGUGUUCUUUGUUUCCUUCAUCAGUACCAAGCCCUAAAGUGUGCUUAACCGCAUCAGUAGCUCCCAUAGCCAUUUGCUUCACUUGCUCACCGGUUUGGCCCAAGAUCCCACCGGUCUUGUUCUUACCAGCUUCUGCAGUCUCCUUGGUAUAUUCUGCUGCAUCUUGUGCCUUGUUCUUAAUUGUUUCUCCUGUCUCUGACAUGUAGCUUCCCGUUUUGUCCUUGGACUCUUGAGCUUUCUGUUGAGUUGUUUGUGCGGCUUGAGAUGCCUUGUCUUUAGCUGCUUGAGCUGUUUCCUGGGUCUUUUGUUGGGCUGAUUGGGCUGCUCCUUGAGUUUUGUCCUUAGCUACAUCUGUCUUCUCCCCCAUCGUUCUCAUAGCUUCCCCUGUUUUCUCCUAAGAUUCGAUAUUGUAUUUAAAUGGGACAAACGUUAAUAAAGUAAUUAACUUACAUAUCUAAUCAGUCGAUACAAAAAUACGAAAUCAGAUAAAUACUUGCCUUUUAUAAUGAAGUUACACAUUAUAGUAAUAUCAUCAAAAAACCAAGCAAUAGAUUGUUUUAUCAAAUAACACGCUAUAUCGUAUAAUAGUGGCUUCACUCGUUGUUAUUUUUUUACCUAAUUAAGAACAUCAUUUUAUUUUAUCUAGAGUUUUUGCAAAAAUGUUUUAAACUAAAUCAUUUACGAAAUAUUUUAAUAUUGCAUAAGAAAUCAUUUAGUACCUGAGUCUUGCCUCUGGUCUCACCAGCUUUGAAACUCUGUUCUUGAUGAGAAGCCAUUUUCUCUCGUCGAAAAAUUCGAAACCAAAAUAUUUAGUGGAAACUCGAAAGGCUGAUUGAUGAUCAAAAGCUGUUAUCAGAACCUGUGUUGGAAGAUAUCUCCGACUCUUAUGUUUGAGACAUUUUAUAGCAAGUCUUGGUCGGCCCGAGAACAAGAUACAUGUUGCAGAUGUCUCGACACGUGUGAAGCCACGCGUCGCGAUUAGGUUAGCGAAACGAAGUUCGAAACUUGGAGUAAUGUGCGAGUGUUGAAUGUUAGGUUAUCUUGUUUUUGAUGACGACCUAUGUAGAGGUGCCACGCCAUAAUAAAAUAAUGUGUUACGGAAGAUGCUAGAUACGUGGCGAGUUACGUACAUGGAUUUUAUUUACUUAAUGCAUUACAAUAUUUAUACAAAGACUUAGGUUGUUAGACCAGCGCCGAUGGUGAAAAGUUUUUAGAAAUAUUUUAUCUAAUAUAAUAUUAUUAUUUUUAUGUAAUUUAAUUAAUUAGUUAAAUUUUAAAUUAUAAAAACAAAUUUCACCAAUAAAAUAAUGACACAUUUCACAAAAAAAUUUUAAAAUUUUAUUUAAAUCUUUAAAAAAGAAUUCAUUAUUUCUCAUCCUUUUUUAUUUUUUUAUUUUUUUAAUCAUAACAACAUCUUUAAGAAACUACCAUUAGGGUAGUUUUUUUAAUAAGAAAACAAAAACUUAUUUUUACGCUAAAAUUUGUUAUUCAGUCUCUGCUACUUUGUUAUUUGGAGACAAACUCUGUUUUAAACUAUUUUCAUUUUUCGGAUUCAGUGAUACUCAGAUCAAUAAGAAAAGUUAUAUGAGUGAAAAACAAAAUCUUGCUUUCCAUUUUAUUAUUCAAAAUAUUUUAUUAUUAUUAUUAUUAAAAAAAAGAAAAGUUCGGAUUACAAAAUGAAAUAAAACAACAUAAAAUUACUAGUAAAAUUUACCACGAAGCACGACUUAGACCAUCAUGCAAUAUGUAGAUUUGAAUUCAGAUACAGACACAUCAACGACACUAUUACAAACCUCUUGACUAUGUAUACAUGUUCUUAUCCGAUUAUAAUCAUCAAUGACUUUUUUUAAUGAGAAUUUGAUUAUGUAAAUUUUGAAUCAUCACUAAUAAUGUUAUUUCAUCAAUAAAUUUCUGUUUUAUUCUAUUUUCACCACCGUUUACAUCUAGUAGUUGAAUCUACCAAAAACAUUCACUUAACACGACGAAUCAAGACCUGAUCCAUUCAGGUCCAGACUUAAUCGGAACCGAAUUUAUAAACUAGGUGCAAUAAAACUGUCCAAGUUCGGAUAUGUCUUUAUCAAAUUUACCUUUGGAGUUCAGGAGAGUUUCUACUUUAUCCAGAUGUUCUUUAGAAAUGGUUCAACUGCACCAGUACACAACAGAUCAGACAUAUUUCUUGAUGCUUCCACUUUCCAUUUCCAGCACCAAAUAGAUUAAAUAGGAUCAUUGAAUUUACUCUUUUUGAUUUACAUGAACCAGCUUGCUUGGAGACAUUCUACACAGACCAAGUACUUCAAAGAAAACACAAAUUCAUGUCCAAAAUAUUUAGGUACAAGAAACUUCACAUUCUCCAUAUUUAACAAGACCGAUGUAUAAUGGUCAUUUUACUCAAUAAACUUCGAUUAAUUUCACAUUUAAAUUGUUUUUCAUUUAUUUUCUUUGUUUAAGCUUGUAAAAACGUAUCUAGGAGAACUAUAUAAUCUCGUAGGAUAUAAUCUCAAUCAUCAAUUCCCUUGUAAUAUUCAUGAAUCAUUUUAUUAAUAGUCAAUAAAUCAAUUUGUUUUUUUUUUUUGAAAAUGUAAAAUUUAUUCAUCAAAAAAUCUCUUUACAAAGAAUGCUUAUUUGGUUCUAAAAAAUUGAAAUCAAAACAACAUUAGAUUAGAAAUUUGUGCUAACUCGACUCUGAAACUUUAGCGGGUGGAGAAUCACCAAGUUAGACCAUCAUCGUAUCUGGUACCACUUGUCAUUCGGAUGGAAGAAACUCUGUUAUGCACUCCCUUGUCGAUAAAGUGAAUUAGCUGUAGAGGUGAUUGUGGUUGAUCACUAUGACCUCUUCCAUUUCGCUUGCGCCAAAUAGUGUGUACUGCCAGUUGGAAGACGUAUCUGAAUAGUAGAGGGGUUGAACUUAGCGUUGAGUCAGAGAGGAGAAGAACCAGACUAUCCCAAUCUGUGGAGAAGCUAUCGAUGAGUAGAUUGGACGCAAGAUUGGUCCAAAUCAAAUUGUUUUCUUUUUUAAAGCUUCGCCUUUCUGUUUUAUUCUCUAAUGUUCAUAAGUGCAAUUAUUUGAUCUUUUGUGUUUUUGUUAUUUAGAGUGUGUGUGAAUCAAACCACUUUUGGUCAUGGGAGGAAAGCCUUGAUCCAUGCGAGGAAAAUCUCUUAGAUCAACUCCUUUGUCCAUUGAUAUAUUUGGACCUGACACAAUCUUCAUCCAUCAAUAUAUCAACAUUAUCUUCAUCCAUCAAUAUAUAAUUUUAAAUCUUUAUGUGCUAUAAGUUUGGUGGCUUCUAAUCUUACAUCAAAUCUCGCAUAGGAGAAGAGAUCGAGCAAGUUUUACGACUUCUUUGCUUCUAACGAUAAAGAAGACAAAUGUACUUAGUGAUGACAGAAAAAGUUCCGAAAUGUAGAAGAAACUAUAUGGCUAUUAUCAUUUAAUCUUGAUGGUGAAGUUACUGUGCUUUGGAUACAAGUUACACAUGUAGAAAACAAUUUAGAACUCUUUAAUUUUUAAAUAAUUUGAAAAUAAAAGACCACAAUCUUUAAAAAAAUUCACCAUAAAUAAAUGAUGUUGGAAAAAACCAUUGAUAUAGAAAUCCAACAAAAAAAAUUUUAAGAAAGAAAAAUAUAGAUCAUAUAUUAUUAGAUUAUCAUUGAAAUCUAAAAAUUUAUAUUAAGAAAUAAAAAAAUGAACACACAGAUUUUUGUGACAUUUUAGAUGGAAAGUGUAUUAAAGUGUUUAGACAAAACUAAUAAAUUAGUAAUAAUAAGAUAAAAGUUAUAAAUUCAUUAAAACAUAUAUAUAUAUAUAGGGUAUUCUUGUGCAUCUAAUAUAAUAAGAUCUAUGGAUUGUGUUCCACCCAAUUAAGUUUUCUUUUUUUGCUGUAAUUUUUCAGUUUUGUGAAGUAAUUAACAAAUAAUAUUAAUUGUUUUAAAUAAUUAUGCCUCUGAUAAAGAUUUUGUAUUGAAAACAUUUUCCACCCAAUUAGUGAUAGUAAGAUUUCUAACUUAAUUUAGGGAUGUGGUCUAUUUUUUCCCUAAAAAGCAAAUAAGUAAAGACUUAUUUGUUGUAUAAAUAUACAGUGUCUUGCCUUACCUUCUCUUAUAUUUUCCAUCUCUCAAAGCUUCCGAGAUAAAUUAAAAAAUACAGUUGAAAAACAAGAAAUUCUUCUCGUCAAAAAUGGCAUCUGGUAUGUUUUUUCCUUGUUGUGAUUAUUCAUGCUUCUUCCAUAGUUAUCAAAAUUGCUCGACUAUUUACUCGUUACAUAUUUUCUGCGUGAAACUAAUUCGUAAAUUUACGUAUGAUAACCACAUAUAUAUACAGGGAGUAGAGUUAUGAACAACGUGUACAUUGUUGAGCCCAUAGGAGUUCAUAAAGCCACUAUAGUCUGGCUGCACGACAUCGGGCUCAAAGGCGUCGAGUAACACUCUCACUGUCUCCCAUGCUUUGUUUUGUAUUGUUUUAUUUGCUCUCUUUUUUUCCUAAAAUAUAUGCUCUUUUGUUUUCAAAACUCUCGAAUUUUGUACAUUUCCUCUCUAUUUUCUUUUCUUGUUAGAUAAUAAUAAGUUUGUUUCACUAAAGUUGUAUAUACAUUACAUAUUAUACACACUAUAUAUAUUUUAAUUAAUCUAUUAUGUAUGCAGCUCAGUUCAGCCUCUGCAAAGUUUGGGUCUUCCCAAUGUAAGGAUCCAUACAGAUACAUGUGUUUGCCAUGAAUUUAAUUUCUUUUUAUAUAUAGCCACAAUGGAAACUAUGAAUUUUCUAAUAAAAAUAUAUGAUUUGGCAUAGAUAAAAUGGAUUUGUCCGACUGCUCCUACACGCCGUGUUACUUCUUUGGGUGGCGAAGAAACCACUGCAUGUACGAUUAAUUGGCUAUAGAUAUACAUAUAUUAUUUUGUUUCUUCUAAAUCAGUAUUUGAUGUCUCUAAAAUAUUACUAAUUAAAAUGGAAAACUAAUAAUACAGUAUUCAUAAUCCUUUAUGGUGAAUCAGGGUGCGAUAUCACAAAAGUUUCAGAGAGCAUGCAUCAUGAUUUUGAAGCUUUAGAUAAUGUGAAUUCAUUUGUUGCUGGCCUUUUCUCUUCCGAACCAGAACAUGGUAAUUCGGAAUUAUCCACACUUAACAUGCAUAGUUUAGACUAUCUAUACAUCAAAUACAUAUAUAUGAUUAAAUAAUUAAUACUUUAAUGUUGAUUUUGGUAUAGUUAUUAAAGGUGUGGGAGGUGUCGGCUUGGGUGCAGCACAAGCUCUCUACUUUGCGAGUAACUAUGCCUUUGGACGAGUCACCAUAAACCUAAAAAUUGUUGUAGGGAUCAACGGUUGGCUUCCUAGCUGGACGUAAGCUCCUCAAGCCCUGAUGUAGUUUUCUCACAAUAUUUUAUUUAACUAUUCGUAUAUACCUUUUAAUAAUGGAAUACCAAAAUCGAUCAAUAAUCUUGUAGGACCUUACGAAACGAUAUGUAUUCUGCCUUUGGGACUUUUGUUCGUGCCGGAUCGCUAAUCUUACUUACAUAUGGGACUUGUAUGUCUUAUAAUAAGUUACAUUAUAUAUAUGUCUUCUUUACAAUUUAAGUUAGUAUUUAAAAAACGAGAUCAUGCUAUUUCUUGGUUUUUGUUGUUGUUGUUGUGUCACUUGCAGCUGAUGAUGUAGCUUUCUCAGCAUUUGCACGCAUCUGCGCUGACUCCCUUCACUUGGCUGGAUUUCCAAUCAUUCACAAACAAUGCGGAGGGUCUAUAUUCAUAAAUUACUUUAUUUAUUUCACUUAUUUAUUUUUUUUUAAUUAUUACCAUCUUUUAACAUAUUGUUCUUCUCUGAAUUAUGUCAUGUGCAGGGAUCAUGUCAUGAAUGAUCUUCGCGUAGCACUCCCGCAAUAUCUUAGGCUCUGAUGAGGAUAUUGCUAAACUCUGCAUCCUGAAAAGAAUAUGGAAUAAAAUUAUCGUAAAACUUUAGCUUUUAUUUUUAUUUCUUUGCUAUUCAUAAAUUAUAUAAUUGUUAAUGUAUUUUUUCAUUUUUAUCCUUCAAAAACUGAAGUUUAUUUUCAGUUUUCUGUUAUAUCAAUAUAUCAUAUGAAAAGGUUAUUAUAUUGUCAAUGGUACUAACAAAAGAGGAAGAUGUAAAAUUGGUGAAAUAACAUAUUGAUUUAAAAAAGUGGGUAAGUGGUAUAAAUAAAGACAUACAUACAGUGUUGUACUACCAAAAUAUCAAUUGUAACAUAUCCAAUUAAUUAACUAUCAAUUGAGAUUGUACAUACCUACCAUAUAUCGCUCUUUUCCCUCUCUUUUGAUGUGCCCUAUUCUCUCUUUGUCUGCGCCCUUUCUUCUCUAAUAUAUAUUGUCUAUUUAAUGGUGUACCAUACAAACUAUUUAUACUACGUUUAGAUAGAGUUUUAUUAUAUUUUCGUAACGCAUAAUUCCAUUCGAUAUACAUUUCUUAUAAUUGAUUUAAAGUAUGACAUGACAAUAUUUGUUAAAAUAUUUAGAACGUGUUGUAUCAAUGCAACAUAAGCUAAUAUUGUUGUGUUCACAUGUGUAUACUAAAUCAAAUUUAGAAUCACAUCAAAUACAAAUCUAUUCACCCGAUAAAACAUGUCUUUAUUAAACCAAACCAUCACAUAAUAGUGUACGUAUAAGCGCAUUUAAACAAUAAGCAUCAACAAAGAUCAACAUGCAGAACCACACAACACAAAACAAAAUCAAGACAAACAAACGUACAAAUCAAGAACAGAAAACAACUCUUCAUCUCACUUCCUCUAUGUCGCAUGAGUAGUGGUCGUAGUAGUAGAGGUUGGAGCUGAAGAAUCAUGUUCUUUGUUUCCUUCAUCUGUACCAAGCCCUAAAGUGUGCUUAACCGCAUCAGUAGCUCCCAUAGCCAUUUGCUUCACUUGCUCACCGGUUUGGCCCAAGAUCCCACCGGUCUUGUUCUUACCAGCUUCUGCAGUCUCCUUGGUAUAUUCUGCUGCAUCUUGUGCCUUGUUCUUAAUUGUUUCUCCUGUCUCUGACAUGUAGCUUCCCGUUUUGUCCUUGGACUCUUGAGCUUUCUGUUGAGUUGUUUGUGCGGCUUGAGAUGCCUUGUCUUUAGCUGCUUGAGCUGUUUCAUGGGUCUUUUGUUGGGCUGAUUGGGCUGCUCCUUGAGUUUUGUCCUUAGCUACAUCUGUCUUCUCCCCCAUCGCUCUCAUAGCUUGUCCUGUCUUCUCCUAUGAUUUGACAUUGGAUUUACAUUCAAGCAAAGGUUAAUAGAGUAAUUAACUUAAAUAUGUAAAUAGAUUGUGGCUAUUGUGUUAUUGUCACUCCUAUUCAACCUGUCUCUUUCUUAUUAUUUCAUCAUCUGAAUUCCAAAAAAAAAAAAAAAAUCAGCAUAGACACAUUGGUUGUCAACAAUCUUUUGUUGUUAUAUUAUCUAAUCAUGCAAAAAACAGACCUAUGCUUUUCUUUAUAUAAGAAAAGUUACUCAUGAGAAAACAUGUUUUCAGAAAUAUAAAGAACAGACUGUUUUAUCAAUUAAAGAACACGAUACGUCGUAAACUAGUGGCUUCAUUCAUUUUUCUUUGACCUAACUGACACCAUUUUUAUUUACUUUAUUAAUUGAAAAAAUAUUAUUGUAAUAUAGCAGGUGUAUCAUUUAGUAUACCUGAGUCUGGCCUCUGGUCUCACCAGCUUCGAAACCCUGUUCUUGAUGAGAAGCCAUUUUCUCUCGUCGAAUAAUUCGAAACCAAAAUAUUUAGUGGAAACUCGAAAGGCUGAUUGAUGAUCAAAAGCUGUUUAUCAGAACCUGUGUUGGAAGAUAUCUCCGACUCUUAUGUUUGAGACAUUUUAUAGCAAGUCUUGGUCGGCCCGAGAACAAGAGACAUGUUGCAGAUGUCUCGACACGUGUGAAGCCACGCGUCGCGAUUAGGUUAGCGAAACGAAGUUCGAAACUUGGAGUAAUGUGCGAGUGUUGAAUGUUAGGUUAUCUUGUUUUUGAUGACGACCUAUGUAGAGGUGCCACGCUAUAAUAAAAUAAUGUGUUACGGAAGAUGCUAGAUACGUGGCGAGUCACGUACAUGGAUUUUAUUUACUUAAUGCAUUACAAUAUUUAUACAAAGACUUAGGUAGUUACGUUCUUUAAUAAGAAAACAAAGACUUAUUAUUACGCUAAAAUUUGUUAUUCUAUCUGUUGCUCACCUCUGUUUUGGAGCUCAUGUAUUUCUAUUCAGUAAUCAGUCUCUGCUACUCUGUUAUUCGGAGACAAACUCCAUUUCAAAUUAUUUUCUUUUUUUGGGUUCAGUGAUAUUCAGAUGAAUAAGAAAUGUUAUAUAAGUGAAAAACAAAAAUUGCUUUCCAUUUUAUUAUCCAAAACAUUCCAUCAUUAUCAUUACCGAAAAAAAAGUUGGGAUUACAAUGUAAAACAAAACAACAUAAAAUUAUUAUAAUUUACUACGGAGUACGACUUAGACCAUCAUGCAAUAUGUAGAUUUGAAUUUAAAUUGAGAUACAUCAACGACAGUAUUACAAACCUCUCGACUAUGUAUAUAUGUUCUUAUCCGAUUAUAAUUAUCAAUGACUUUUUUUAAUGAGAAUUUGGUUAUGUAAAUUUUGAAUCAUCAUUAGUAAUAUCAUUUCAUCAAUAAAUUUCUGUUUUAUUAUAUUUUCACCACGGUUGUCAUCUAGUAGUUGAAUCUACGUAAAACAUUCAUUUAACACGGCGAACCAAUACCUGAUCUAUUCCGGUCCGGACUUAAUUGAAACCGAAUAUAUAAACCAAGUGUAAUAAAACUGUCCAAGUUCAUAUAUGUUUUUAUGUGGAUCAAUGCAAAUUUACAUUUGGAGUUUUGGAGAGUUUCUACUUUAUCCAGAUGUUCUUUAGAAAUGGUUCAACUGCACCAAUACACAACAAAUCAGGAAAAUUUCUUGAUGCUUCCACCUUCCAUAUCCGGCACCAAAUAGAUUAAAUAUGAUCAUUGAAUUUAUCUUUUUGAUUUACUUAACCAGCUUGCUAAUUGGAGACAUUCUACACAGACCAAAUACUUCAAAGAAAACACAAAUUAAUGUCCAAAAUACUUAGGUACAAGAAACUUCACGUUCUCCAUACUUAACAAGACCGAUGUAUAAUGGCCAUUUUACUCAAUAAACUUUGAUUGUUUUCCCAUUUAAAUUGUUUUAUUUAUUUAUUUUGUUUGUUUAAGCUUGUAAAAACGUAUAUAGGAGAACUAUAUAGUCUCGUAGGCUAUAAUCUCAAUCAUCAAUUCCCCUUGUAAUAUUCAUGAAUCAUUUUAUUAAUAGUUAAUAAAUCAUUUUUUUUAAGAAUGUAAAAUUUAUUCAUCAAAAAACGUCUUUACAAAGAAUACUUAUGUGGUUCUAAAAGAUUGAAAAAAUUGAAAUCAAAACAAUAUUAGAUUAGAAAUUUGUGUUAGCUCGACUCUGAAACUUCAAAUUAGAUUAGAAAUUUGUGUUAGCUCGACUCUGAAACUUCAGCGGAUGAAGAACCACCAAUGUUAGACCAUCAUUGUAUCUGGUACCACUCAUCAUUUGGAUGGAAGAAACUCUGUUUCACACUCCCUUGUCGAUAAAGCGAAUUAGCUGGAGAGGUGAUUGUGGUUGAUCACCAUGACCUCUUCCAUUUCGCUCACGCCAAAUAGUGUGUACUGCCAGUUGGAAGACAUAUCUGAAUAGGAAUAGAGGGGUUGAACUUAGCGUUGAGUCAGAGAGGAGAAAAACCAGACUAUCCCAAUCUGUGGAGAAGCUAUCGAUGAGUAGAUUGGACGCAAGAUUGGUCCAAAUCAAUUUGUUUUCUUUUUUAAAGCUUCGCCUUUCUGUUUUAUUCUCUAAAGUUCAUAAGUGAAAUAUUUGUUCUUUUGUGUUCUUGUUAUUUAGAGUGUAUGUGAAUCAAACCACUUUUGGUCAUGGGAGUAAAGCCUUGAUCCAUGCGAGGAAAAUCUCUUAGAUCAAGUCCUUUGUCCAUUCAUAUAUUUGGACCUUAAAGUGUAUUAUUUAUCAACAUUAACUUCAUCCAUCAAUAACUUUAAAUCUUUAUGUGCUAUAAGUUUGAUGGCUUCUAAUCUUACAUCAAAUCUCGCAUAGGAGAAGAUAUCGAGCAAACUUUAUGACUUCUUUGCUUCUAACGAUGAAGAAAACAAAUGUAUAUAGUGAUGACAGAAAAAGUUUCAAAAUUAAGAAGAAACUAUAUGGCUAUUAUCAUUUAAUAUUGAUGGUAAAGUUAUUGUGCUUUGGAUACCAGUUACACGUGUAGACGAUAAUUUAGAACUCUUUAAUUUUUAAAUAAUUUGCAAAUAAAAGACCACAAUAAAAAAAAUCACCAUAAAUAAAUGAUGUUAGAAAAAACCAUUAAUAUAGAAAUCCAACAAAAGUAUUUUUAAGAAAGAAAUAUAUAGAUUAUAUAUAUAUAUAUAUAUAUAUAUAUUAUUAGAUUAUCAUUGAAAUCUAAAAACUUUAUAUUAAGAAAGAAAAACUGAACACAGAUUUUUGUGACAUAUUAGAUGGAAAGUGUAUUAAAGUGUUUAGACAAAAUUAAUUAGUAAUAAUAAGAUAAAAGUUAUUAAUUCAUUAAAACAUAUUUGAUGAGGUGCUAAGUGUUUUCUUUUAUUUUAUAUAUAUAUGGUAUUCUUGUGCAUCUAAUAGAAUAAGAUCUAUGGAUUGUGUUCCACCCAAUUAAGUUUUAUUUUUUUGCUGUAAUUCGUCAGUUAUGUGAAAUAACUGACAAAUAUUAUUAAUUGUUUUAAAUAAAUUAUGCCUCUGAUAAAGAUUUUGUUUUGAAAACAUUUUCUACCCAAUUAGUGAUAGUAAGAUUUCUAACUUAAUUUAGGGAUGUGGCCUUUUUUUCCUAAAAAACAAAUAAGUAAAGACUCAUUUGUUGUAUAAAUAUACAAUGUCUUGCCUUACCUUCUCUUAUAUUUCCCAUCUCUCAAAGCUUCCGAGAUAAAUUAAAAAAUACAGUUGAAAAACAAGAAAUUCUUCUCGUCAAAAAUGGCAUCUGGUAUGUUUUUUCCUUGUUGUGAUUAUUCAUGCUUCUUCCAUUGUUAUCAAAAUUGCUCGACUAUUUACUCGUUACAUAUUUUCUGCGUGAAACUAAUUCGUAAAUUUACGUAUGAUAACCACAUAUAUAUACAGGGAGUAGAGUUAUGAACAACGUGUACAUUGUUGAGCCCAUAGGAGUUCAUAAAGCCACUAUAGUCUGGCUGCACGACAUCGGGCUCAAAGGCGUCGAGUAACACUCUCACUGUCUCCCAUGCUUUGUUUUGUAUUGUUUUAUAUGCUCUCUUUUUUUUCCUAAAAUAUAUGCUCUUUUGUUUUCAAAACUCUCGAAUUUUGUACAUUUCCUCUCUAUUUUCUUUUCUUGUUAGAUAAUAAUAAGUUUGUUUCACUAAAGUUGUAUAUACAUUACAUAUUAUACACACUAUAUAUAUUUUAAUUAAUCUAUUAUGUAUGCAGCUCAGUUCAGCCUCUGCAAAGUUUGGGUCUUCCCAAUGUAAGGAUCCAUACAGAUACAUGUGUUUGCCAUGAAUUUAAUUUCUUUUUAUAUAUAGCCACAAUGGAAAUUAUGAAUUUUCUAAUAAAAAUAUAUGAUUUGGCAUAGAUAAAAUGGAUUUGUCCGACUGCUCCUACACGCCGUGUUACUUCUUUGGGUGGAGAAGAAACCACUGCAUGUACGAUUAAUUGGCUAUAGAUAUACAUAUAUUAUUUUGUUUCUUCUAAAUCAGUAUUUGAUGUCUCUAAAAUAUUACUAAUUAAAAUGGAAAACUAAUAAUACAGUAUUCAUAAUCCUUUAUGGUGAAUCAGGGUGCGAUAUCACAAAAGUUUCAGAGAGCAUGCAUCAUGAUUUUGAAGCUUUAGAUAAUGUGAAUUCAUUUGUUGCUGGCCUUUUCUCUUCCGAACCAGAACAUGGUAAUUCGGAAUUAUCCACACUUAACAUGCAUAGUUUAGACUAUCUAUACAUCAAAUACAUAUAUAUGAUUAAAUAAUUAAUACUUUAAUGUUGAUUUUGGUAUAGUUAUUAAAGGUGUGGGAGGUGUCGGCUUGGGUGCAGCACAAGCUCUCUACUUUGCGAGUAACUAUGCCUUUGGACGAGUCACCAUAAACCUAAAAAUUGUUGUAGGGAUCAACGGUUGGCUUCCUAGCUGGACGUAAGCUCCUCAAGCCCUGAUGUAGUUUUUUCACAAUAUUUUAUUUAACUAUUCGUAUAUACCUUUUAAUAAUGGAAUACCAAAAUCGAUCAAUAAUCUUGUAGGACCUUACGAAACGAUAUGUAUUCUGCCUUUGGGACUUUUGUUCGUGCCGGAUCGCUAAUCUUACUUACAUAUGGGACUUGUAUGUCUUAUAAUAAGUUACAUUAUAUAUAUGUCUUUUUUACAAUUUAAGUUAGUAUUUAAAAAACAAGAUCAUGCUAUUUCUUGGUUUUUGUUGUUGUUGUUGUGUCACUUGCAGCUGAUGAUGUAGCUUUCUCAGCAUUUGCACGCAUCUGCGCUGACUCCCUUCACUUGGCUGGAUUUCCAAUCAUUCACAAACAAUGUGGAGGGUCUAUAUUCAUAAAUUACUUUAUUUACUUCAUUCAUUUAUUUUUUUUAAUUAUUACCAUCUUUUAACAUAUUGUUCGUCUCUGAAUUAUGUCAUGUGCAGGGAUCAUGUCAUGAAUGAUCUUCGCGUAGCACUCCCGCAAUAUCUUAGGCUCUGAUGAGGAUAUAGCUAAACUCUGCAUCCUGAAAAGAAUAUGGAAUAAAACUAUCGUAAAACUAUAGCUUUUAUUUUUAUUGCUUUGCUUUUCAUAAAUUAUAUACUUGUUAAUGUAUUUUUUUUCAUUUUUAUCCUUGAAAAACUGAAGUUUAUUAUCAGUUUUCUGUUAUAUCAUAUAUCAUAUCUAAAGGUUAUUAUAUUAUCAAUGGUGAACUAACAAAAGAGGAAGAAGGAAAAUUGGUGUAAUAACAUAUUGAUUUAAAAAAGGGGGUUAGUGGUAUAAUAUAGACAUACAUACAGUGUUGUACUACCAAAAUAUCAAUUGUAACAUAUCCAAUUAAUUAACUAUCAAUUGAGAUUGUACAUACCUACCGUCGCUCUUUACGCUCUCUUUUGAUGUGCCCUAUUCUCUCUUUGUGUGUCUGCGCCCUUUCUUCUCUAAUAUUGUUUAUUGAGAUUGUACGUAAUGGUGUGCCAUACAAACUAUUUAUACUAUUUUUAGAUAACUUUUUAUUAUUUUUCGUAACGCAUAAUUCCAUUCAAUAUACAUUUCUUAUAAAUGAUUUAUGUAUGACAUGACAAUAUUUGUUAAAAUAUUUAGAACGUGUUGUAUGAAUACAACAUAAGCUAAUAUUGUUGUGUUCACAUGUGUAUACUAAUCAAAUUCAGAAUCACAACAAAUGUAAUUCUAUUCACCGGAUAAAACAAGUCUUCAAUUAACCAAACCAUUACAUAACAAUGUACGUAUAAACGGAUUUAAACCCAAUAAGCAACAACGAAAAUCAACAUGCAGAAUCACACAACACAAAACAAAAUAAAAUAAAAAUAAACGUAUAAGCAAGAACAGAAAAUAACUCUUCAUCUCACUUCCUCUCUGUCGCAUGAGUAUUGGUAGUAGUAGAGGUUGGAGCUGAAGAAACGUGUUCUUUGUUUCCUUCAUCAGUACCAAGCCCUAAAGUGUGCUUAACCGCAUCAGUAGCUCCCAUAGCCAUUUGCUUCACUUGCUCACCGGUUUGGCCAAAGAUCCCACCGGUCUUGUUCUUACCAGCUUCUGCAGUCUCCUUGGUAUAUUCUGCUGCAUCUUGUGCCUUGUUCUUAAUUGUUUCUCCUGUUUCUGACAUGUAGCUUCCCGUUUUGUCCUUGGACUCUUGAGUUUUCUGUUGAGUUGUUUGUGCGGCUUGAGAUGCCUUGUCUUUAGCUGCUUGAGCUGUUUCAUGGGUCUUUUGUUGGGCUGAUUGGGCUGCUCCUUGAUUUUUGUCCUUAGCUGCAUCUGUCUUCUCCUCCAUCGCUCUCAUAGCUUGUCCUGUCUUCUCCUAUGAUUUGAUAUUGGAUUUACAUUCAAACAAAGGUUGAUAGAGUAAUUAACUUAAAAUAUGUGAAUAGAUUGUGGCUAUUGUGUUAUUGUCACUCCUAUUCAACCUGUCUAUAUCUUAUUCUUUGAUUAUCUGAAUUCCAACAUAGACACAUUGGUUUUCAACAAUCUUUUGUUGCUAAUCAUGCAUAAAACAGACCUAUGCUUUUCUUUAUAUAAGAAAAGUUACUCAUGAGAAAACAUGUUUUCAGAAAUAUAAAGAACAGACUGUUUAUCAAUUAAAGAACACGAUAUAUCGUAAACUAGUGGCAUUUUUCUUUGACCAAACUGACACCAUUUUUAUUUUACUUUAUUUUUUUGAAAAAUAUUAUUGUAAUAUAGCAGAUGAAUCAUUUAGUAUACCUGAGUCUGGCCUCUGGUCUCACCAGCUUCGAAACCCUGUUCUUGAUGAGAAGCCAUUUUCUCUCGUCGAAUAAUUCGAAACCAAAAUAAUUAGUGGAAACUCGAAAGGCUGAUUGAUGAUCAAAAGCUAUUUUUCAGAACCUGUGUUGGAAGAUAUCUCCGACUCUUAUGUUUGAGACAUUUUUUAGCAAGUCUUGGUCGGCCCGAGAACAAGAGACAUGUUGCAGAUGUCUCGACACGUGUCAAACCACGCGUCGCGAUUAGGUUAGAGAAAUGAAGUUCGAAACUUGGAGUAAUGUGCGAGUGUUGAAUGUUAGGUUAUCUUGUUUUUGAUGACGACCUAUGUAGAGGUGCCACGCCAUAAUAAAAAAUGGUGUUACGGAAGAUGCUAGAUACGUGGCGAGUCACGUACAUGGAUUUUAUACAAAGACUUAGGUAGUUACUAGCCCUGGGCUUUCGGAUAUUCGGUUCGGUUCCGGGUAAGAACCGAACGGUUCCGGAUAUUUCGGUUCUCAUGUUUUAGAUUCAUAUAGGUAUUGAAUUGUUUUCGGUUCGGUUCCGGUUCGGUACCUCUCGGUUCCGGAUCGGUUCGGGUAUGAAGGAUGAGAACCGUAAAAUACCCAAAAGAUUUCGGUUCUUAAAUACCCAAAAAAAUUUUGUUAACAAAAUAACCAAAUAACAAAAAAGAAGCAUGACUUGCGACUCUUGUGACCUGAAACUGCAAAAACAAAACAAAAAGACUUAAAAAAAUUAUUAGAAUCAUUAACAAAGAAGAAGUUAGCACUCAUAAUCUCAGAUAUUAGACUCACAGUUAACAUCAUAUGGAUUUCAUAUAUAAAUAGUAAACCCUAAAUCUAUUUCUAAGUGAAGAGACUCUAUAGACUCGAUUAUUCAAGAGUAAUUCGUUGUAAAAACGAAAAAACAAAGAGGAAAUGAGAUCAAUUUAAAAUUUAAACAAACAGAAACAGUUAGCCCCAAAAUCGAUUUUAGCUAUAAACAGUAAACCCCAAACCCAAAUAAAUUCAAAGAUGAGAAGGAGAUGGAAAAGAAGCAUACCCCGACUGAUUUUUUAACGUAGCAGAUGGCUGUGUCGGCGAAGAAAUGCUACAGCGACUGAAAAUUAGGGAUUUCAGUUUUUCUGAAUGAUUUAGAGUUAAUUUUUUAAGUACUAACGAGAGAAAAAAGAGAAACUGUUUUUCUUUUUACAACGAUAAGUUGCAUGUGUAGGUGUAUAGUUUUGUGUAUGUCUUUUUUUUCCCUCUUUGAAUAUGUGUCGAAUUGUGGAUAAUGGGCUAGAUCAAUUUUGUAAAAAUGACUUUGAAUUACUAAUGGGCCAAUAUUAGAUUUGUAGCAAACUAAUUGUUUAAUAUUAAUGAGUAAUGGCCCAAACUUAUACAUAAUUUUCGGGUAUUCGGUUCGGUAUUUUCGGUUCCGGGUAAUAACCGGAUCCGAACCGAUAUCCAUGGAUCUUAGAUAUGAGAUCCAAUGGGUAUUUAGGCAAUAACCGAAACCGAACCGAACCAAAAAUUUCGGGUCGGUUCCGAUUCGGUAUUUCGGUUCUGGUUCUUAUGCCCAGGGUGAGUAGUUACGUUCUUUAAUAAGAAAACAAAGACUUAUUAUUACGCUAAAAUUUGUUAUUCUAUCUGUUGCUCACCUCUGUUUUUGGAGCUCAUGUAUUUCUAUUUAGUAUUCAGUCUCUGCUACUCUGUUAUUCGGAGACAAACUCCGUUUUAUAUUAUUUUCUUUUUUGGGUUCAAUGAUACUCAGAUGAAUAAGAAAAGUUAUAUGAGUGAAAAACAAAAAUUGCUUUCCAUUUUAUUAUCCAAAAUAUUCCAUUAUUAUCAUUACCAAAAAAAAGUUCGGAUUACAAAGUAAAAUAAAACAACAUAAUAUUACUAUUAAAAUUUACCACGGAGCACGAUUUAGACCAUCAUAAUGUAGAUUUGAAUUUAAAUUGAGAUACAUCAACGACACUAUUACAAACCUCUCGACUAUGUAUAUAUGUUCUUAUCCGAUUAUAAUCAUCAAUGACUUUUUUAAUGAGAAUUUGGUUAUGUAAAUUUUGAAUCAUCACUAAUAAUGUCAUUUCAUCAAUAAAAUUGUGUUUUAUUAUAUUUUCACCAAUCUUUACAUCUAGUAGUUGAAUCUGCCAAAAUUAUUCACUUAACACGGUGAACCAAGACCUGAUCCAUUCAGGUCCAGACUUAAUCGAAACCGAAUUUAUAAACUAGAUGUAAUGUAAUAAUUAAAACUGUCCAAGUUCCCUUGUAAUAUUCAUGAAUCAUUUUAUUAAUAGUCAAUAAAUCAAAUUGUUUUAUUUUUUAUAAAAAAAAUGUAAAAUUUCAUCAAAAAAGCGUUUUUACAAAGAAUGCUUAUGUGGUUCUAAAAAAUUGAAAUCAAAGCAAAAUUAGACUAGAAAUUUGUGCUAGUUGGACUCUGAAACUUUAGCGGGUGGAGAACCACCAAGUUAGACCAUCAUCGUAUCUGGUACCACUCGUCAUUCGGAUGGAAGAAACUCUGUUCUGCACAAGGGAACAUUCCCUUGUCGAUAAAGCGAAUUAGCUGGAGCGGUGAUUGUGGUUGAUCACUCUGACCUCUUCCAUUUUGCUCGUGCCAAAUAGUGUGUACUGCCAGUUGGAAGACAUAUCUGAAUAAGAAUAGAGGAGUUGAACUUAGCGUUGAGUCAGAGAGGAGAAGAACCAGACUAUCUUAAUCUGUGGAGAAGCUAUCGAUGAGUAGAUUGGACGCAAGAUUGGUCCAAAUCAAUUUUUUUUCUUUUUUAAAGCUUUGUCUUUCUGUUUUAUUCUGUAAAGUUUAUAAGUGAAAUUAUUUAUUUUUUUGUGUUCUUGUUAUUUAGAGUGUAUGUAAAUCAAACCACUUUUGGUCAUGGGAGGAAAUCCUUGAUCCAUCCCAGGAAAUCUCUUAGAUUAAGUCCUUUGUCCAUUGAUAUAUUUGGACCUUACACAAUCUAAGUGUAUUAUAUAUCAACAUUCUCUUCAUCCAUCAAUAUAUGUAAUUUUAAAUCUUUAUGUGCUUUAAGUUUUGUGGCUUCUAAUCUUACAUCAAAAUCUCGCAUAGGAGAAGAGAUCGAGCAAGAUUUACGACUUCUUUAUUUCUAACGAUGAAGGGACAAAUGUAUAUAGUGAUGAUCGAAAAAGUUCCAAAAUUUAGAAGAAACUAUAUCGUUAUUAUCAUUUAAUAUUGAUGGUGAAGUUACUGUGCUUCAGAUACCAAUUACACGUGUAGAAGACAAUUUAGAACUCUUUGAUUUUUAAAUAAUUUGAAAAUAAAAGACCACAAUCUUUUAAAAAAGUCACCAUGUUGGAAAAAACCAUUGAUAUAGAAAUCCAACAAAAAUACUUUUAAGAAAGAAAAAUAUAGAUCAUAUAUCAUUAGAUUAUCAUUGAAAUCUAAAAACUUUAUAUUAAGGAAAAAAAACUGAAUACAUAGAUUUUGUGACAUUUUAUAUGGAAAGUGUAUUAAAGUGUUUAGACAAAACUAAUUAGUAAUAGUAAGAUAAAAGUUAUAAAUUCAUUAAAACAUAUUUGAUGAGGUGCUAAGUGUUUUCUUUUAUUAUAUAUAUGGUAUUCUUGUGCAUCUAAUAGAAUAAGAUCUAUGGAUUGUGUUCCACCCAAUUAAGUUUUUUUUUUUGCUGUAAUUCGUCAGUUUUGUGAAAUAACUGACAAAUAUUAUUAAUUGUUUUAAAUAAAUUAUGCCUUUGAUGAAGAUUUUGUUUUGAAAACAUUUUCUACCCAAUUAGUGAUAGUAAGAUUUCUAACUUAAUUUAGGGAUGUGGUCUAUUUUUUCCUAAAAAGCAAAUAAGUAAUGACUCAUUUGUUGUAUAAAUAUACAAUGUCUUGCCUUACCUUUUCUUAUAUUUUCCAUCUCUCAAAGCUUCUGAGAUAAAUUAAAAAAAUACGGUUAAAAAACAAGAAAUUCUUCUCGUCAAAAAUGGCAUCUGGUUAUGUUUUUUCCUUGUGAUUAUUCAUGCUUCUUCCAUAGUUAUCAAAAUUGCUCGACUAUUUUCUCGUUACAUAUUUUCUGCGUGAAACUAAUUAGUAAAUUUACGUAUGAUAACCACAUAUAUAUACAUGUAGUAGAGUUAUGAACAACGUGUACAUUGUUGAGCCUAUAGGAGUUCAUAAAGCCACUAUAGUCUGGCUGCACGACAUCGGGCUCAAAGGCGUCGAGUAACACUCUCAUUGUCUCCCAUGCUUUGUUUUGUAUUGUUUUAUAUGCUCUCUUUUUUCGUAAAAUAUAUGCUCUUUUGUUUUCAAAAUUCUCGAAUUUUGUACAUUUCCUCUCUAUUUUCUUUUCUUGUUAGAUAAUAAUAAGUUCGUUUCACUAAAGUUGUAUAUACAUUACAUAUUAUACACAUUAUAUAUUUUUUAAUUAAUUUAUUAUGUAUGCAGCUCAGUUCAGCCUCUGCAAAGUUUGGGUCUUCCCAAUGUAAGGAUCGAUACAGAUACAUGUGUUUGCCAUGAAUUUAAUUUCUUUUUAUAUAUAGCCACAAUGGAAACUAUGAAUUUUCUAAUAAAAAUAUAUGAUUUGGCAUAGAUAAAAUGGAUUUGUCCGACUGCUCCUACACGCCGUGUUACUUCUUUGGGUGGAGAAGAAACCACUGCAUGUACGAUUAAUUGGCUAUAGAUAUACAUAUAUUAUUUUGUUUCUUCUAAAUCAGUAUUUGAUGUCUCUAAAAUAUUACUAAUUAAAAUGGAAAACUAAUAAUACAGUAUUCAUAAUUCUUUAUGGUGAAUCAGGGUGCGAUAUCACAAAAGUUUCAGAGAGCAUGCAUCAUGAUUUUGAAGCUUUAGAUAAUGUGAAUUCAUUUGUUGCUGGCCUUUUCUCUUCCGAACCAGAACAUGGUAAUUCGGAAUUAUCUACACUUAACAUGCAUAGUUUAGACUAUCUAUACAUCAAAUACAUAUAUAUGAUUAAAUAAUUAAUACUUUAAUGUUGAUUUUGGUAUAGUUAUUAAAGGUGUGGGAGGUGUCGGCUUGGUUGCAGCACAAGCUCUCUACUUUGCGAGUAACUAUACCUUUGGAGGAGUCACCAUAAACCUAAAAAUUGUUGUAGGGAUCAACGGUUGGCUUCCUAGCUGGACGUAAGCUCCUCAAGCCCUGAUGUAGUUUUUCACAAUUUUUUAUUUAACUAUUCGUAUAUACCUUUUACUAAUGGAAAACCAAAAUCGAUCAAUAAUCUUGUAAGACCUUGCGAAACGAUAUGUAUUCUGCCUUUGGGACUUUUGUUCGUGCCGGAUCGCUAAUCUUACUUACAUAUGGGACUUGUAUGUUUUAUAAUAAAUUAAAUUAUAUAUAUAUGUCUUCUUUACAAUUUAAGUAAGUAUUUAGAAAACAAUCGCGAGAUCAUGCUAAUUCUUGGGGGUUUUUUUUUGUCGUUGUUGUGUCACUUGCAGCUGAUGAUGUAGCUUUCUCGGCAUUUGCACGCAUCUGCGCUGACUCCCUUCACUUGGCUGGAUUUCCAAUCAUUCACAAAUAAUGUGGAGGGUCUAUAUUUAUAAAUUACUUUAUUUUUUUCACUCAUAUAUAUUUUAGUUAUUACUAUCUUUUAACAUAUUGUUCUUCUCUGAAUUUUGGGUUAUGUCAUAUGCAGGGAUCACGUCAUGAAUGAUCUUCGCGUAGCACUCCCGCAAUAUUUUAGGCUCUGAUAAGGAUAUAGCUAAACUCUGCAUCUUGAAAGAAUAUGGAAUAAAACUAUCCUACAAGUGUUAUAGCUUUUAUUUUUAUUUCUUAGCUAUUCAUAAAUUAUAUAAUUGUUAAUGUAUUUUUCAUUAUUAUCCUUCAAAAACUGAAGUUUAUUUUCAGUUUUCUGUUAUAUCAUAUGUCAUAUAAAAAGGUUAUUAUAUUGUCAAUGGUGAACAAACAAAAGAGAAAGAAGUAAAAUUGGUGAAAUAACAUAUUGAUUAAAAAAAGUGGGUUAGUGGUAUAAUAUAGCCAUACAUACAGUGUUGUACUACCAAAAUAUCAAUUGUAACAUAUCCUUAACUAUCAAUUGAGAUUGUACAUACCUACCAUCGCUCUUUUCCCUGUCUUUUGAUGUGCCCUAUUCUCUCUUUGCGUCCUUUUUUCUCUAAUAUUCCUUCCCUUUUUUAUUAGUUGUCGUUUCUAGUUGUUGUUUUCAGUUUUCAAUGCAAUUACUUUUUAGGAUUAUUUUUAUUAUGUAAUUUAGUUUAUUAUUAAUUGAAUUAUGUUUAAAUAAAUAAUUAAUGAUGUUUUUAUAUUAAAAACUAAUACAAUUAAUAUUUUUUUAAUCUAUGUGCAUAACCUUAAUACGAAAACUAAAUAAAUCCGGAGGGAAUAUUUUCUACUGAGAUUGUACGUAACAAAGUGUACCAUACAAUCUAUUUACAAUCUAUUUAUACUAUUUUUAGAUAGGUUUUAUUAUAUUUUCGUAACGCAUAAUUCCAUUCAAUAUACAUUUCUUAUAAAUGAUUUAUGUAUGACAUGACAAUAUUUGUUAAAAUCAUUAGAACUUGUUGUAUCAAUAUUGUUGUGUAUACUAAUCAAAUUUAGAAUCACAUCAAAUACAAAUCUAUUCACCCGAUAAAACAAGUAUUUAAUUAACCAAACCAUUACAUAAUAGUGUUCGUAUAAGCGCAUUUAAACCCAAUAAACAACAACAAAGAUCAACAUGCAGAAUCACACAACACAAAACAAAAUCAAAACAAACAAACGUACAAAGCAAGAACAGAAAAAAACUCUUCAUCUCACUUCCUCUCUGUCGCAUGAGUAGUGGUCGUAGUAGUAGAGGUUGGAGCUGAAGAAUCAUGUUCUUUGUUUCCUUCAUCAGCACCAAGUCCUAAAGUGUGCUUAACCGCAUCAGUAGCUCCCAUGGCCAUUUGCUUCACUUGCUCACCGGUUUGGCCCAAGAUCCCACCGGUCUUGUUCUUACCAGCUUC
rnacentral:lncRNA from 1 species